AGCGAACGCUGGCGGCAGGCCUAACACGUGCAAGUCGAACGAACCCUUCGGGGUUAGUGGCGGACGGGUGAGUAACACGUGGGAACGUGCCUUUAGGUUCGGAAUAACUCAGGGAAACUUGUGCUAAUACCGAAUGUGCCCUUCGGGGGAAAGAUUUAUCGCCUUUAGAGCGGCCCGCGUCUGAUUAGCUAGUUGGUGAGGUAAAGGCUCACCAAGGCUACGAUCAGUAGCUGGUCUGAGAGGAUGACCAGCCACAUUGGGACUGAGACACGGCCCAAACUCCUACGGGAGGCAGCAGUGGGGAAUCUUGCGCAAUGGGCGAAAGCCUGACGCAGCCAUGCCGCGUGAAUGAUGAAGGUCUUAGGAUUGUAAAAUUCUUUCACCGGGGACGAUAAUGACGGUACCCGGAGAAGAAGCCCCGGCUAACUUCGUGCCAGCCGCCGCGGUAAGAC
rnacentral:rRNA from 1 species